GCCACCGUGGCUAGACCGGUAAUGCACCAGUUUUGUAAACUGGCUUAUGUGGGUUCAAUUCCCACCGGUGGCUCCA
rnacentral:tRNA from 1 species